UACGGGGGGGGCAAGCGUUGUUCGGAAUUACUGGGCGUAAAGCGCGCGUAGGCGGCUUUGCAAGCCGGAUGUGAAAUCCCCGGGCUUAACCUGGGAACUGCAUUCGGGACUGCAUUGCUAGAGUAUGGGAGAGGGAAGUGGAAUUUCGGGUGUAGCGGUGAAAUGCGUAGAUAUCUGAAGGAACAUCAGUGGCGAAAGCGACUUCCUGGACCAAUACUGACGCUCAUGUGCGAAAGCGUGGGGAGCAAACAGG
rnacentral:rRNA from 1 species